GAUGAAGAACGUAGCGAAAUGCGAUAAGUAGUGUGAAUUGCAGAAUUCAGUGAAUCAUCGAAUCUUUGAACGCACAUUGCGCCCCUUGGUAUUCCAUGGGGCAUGCCUGUUCGAGCGUCAUUUGUACCUUCAAGCUUUGCUUGGUGUUGGGUGUUUGUCCCGAGGGACUCGCCUUAAAGUAAUUGGCAGCCAGUGUUUGGUUUUGAAGCGCAGCACAAGUCGCGAUUCAAGGCUACACGCCCGCUUCCACAAGCCUUUUUUCACUUUUGACCUCGGAUCAGGUAGGGAUACCCGCUGAACUUAAUCAUAUCAAUAAGCGGAGGA
rnacentral:misc_RNA from 1 species